GCCAAUGUGGUGUAGUGGUGUGAGCACUGGACUAUGACUCUGGAGACCAGGGUUUGAAUCCCUGCUCAGGCA